rnacentral:rRNA from 1 species
GACGAGCCACACAAACGUUAUUCGGAAUUACUGGGCUUAAAGGGUGCGUAGGCGGUGCGGAAAGUUGGGUGUGAAAUACCUCGGCUCAACCGAGGAACUGCGCCCAAAACUGCCGCACUCGAGGAAGAUAGAGGUGAGCGGAACUUACGGUGGAGCGGUGAAAUGCGUUGAUAUCGUAAGGAACACCCGUGGCGAAAGCGGCUCACUGGGUCUUCUCUGACGCUGAUGCACGAAAGCUAGGGGAGCAAACGGG